GCAGUUAAUUUUACAACACAUUCCAUAAUAUGAAGAUGAAAUUUGAAAACUGUAGGAGUUAGCCAGAGGAACAAUAAAACAGUAUGACCCAACCAUAUUACCAAAAAUUAACGAAGUUAAACAUCCUGUUAUUUGUGGAAAAUUCUAUGCAAAUCAAAAUCCUGAUAUUAUGCAUCUAUGCAGUUCAUAUAGUUUUGACUUGAAGACUAUAGGAGGAGUUAGCCAGACAACCAUAAACCCUAUGUGGGACAGAUCAACAGGAGAAAGGUAGGUUGAACAGAUGGGCAGGCACAACACAGUAUGCUCCCUAACAUUCAUUACAGACGAAUGAAAAAUGUCAUUUAGGAUCAAUCAGACUGCACAAAUGACAAAUAGUAGCCUUUGUUUAUUCUCUAUUGGAAGGUAUGAGGGAUAUUGCAUUUCAAACAGUACGCCUAGAAAGUAAAUAAGUCUUAAAUGAAUGUCUAGGUAGCUUUUCUUUUACACUAGGUGCUCCUUAACCUCAUAAACACUUUCAAUUUUCUCUUUUGUUUGGAUUGGAAACAAAUAUCUUAAGGAAAGUAUAACAAGACUUACAAUUUCCCAAAAACUUUUAUAAGCAAAAAUAUACCACUCUUCAAUAAAUGCAACAAUUUUGAUCUAUCAAUGUAACCUUUGUUUGACUAAGUCAACUUUUUAUACAUGCAUAUGUUAUCUAAAUGACAUACAAAGGAAUCACAUAUUGGUAACGUAUAGUGAGUAUCAUGGAAAUACCUCAAAAAAGUGAUUUUUAAUGAUAAGUUAUUAUUAAGGUUACAUUUAAAAGUCUAGAAAUUGCAUAUGUAAAUAUAUUUAACUAAACAAAAGAGCAAACAUGGGUGAUGUCAUUAAUCAAGUGCAAGUGGUUGUUUUAUCCUGUUAAAAGACAUUUGAUUCUUUAAGCUUGCACUUGUGGAGUGACACCUACUUUUUGCUGAAAUCAUUUGUUUAGUACAAAAUUCUCAUUUCGAUAAAAAAAAACAUAUUUUAAAAAUUCUGAUUUGGAUGCAAUGUUGGCUUUCUUCUAAAACCAUGAACACAUAUGUGACCAGCCACGACAUAUCCAGGCCCAUUAACUAUAUGUGACUAGCCACUUCAAGGCUUAGGAGGGUACAUUGUCUAAAUUUGCUUUUUUAUUUUAUUAGAAAUUCCGAACAAACUUCUGUCAAGUUGUUAUGCCAUUUUAUUUUAAUGCAAUGAAAGAUCAUUUCGAAUAUGUUAUGAAAAUGAGACUGUUAAUGACGGCUUUAAUUUAUUAAGGCACUAAUUUAAUAAAAAUAAAAUUAUUGUUUAUUGGCUCUUAGUAAGUUAAUAGUUUUGAAUAAUUUCAAAGACUUAAAUUUACUACAAUACAACAAUCUAGCUCUAUUUUAGAACAUGUAAUUAAAUUGUUGAAAUGAAUUAGUUUAAAAUUUGUCAAAGUAACUUUAAGAAGUCUUUUUAAUUAGAUUUAGAUGAUGUCUCAAACAUAGUAUGCAACGCACAGUUUUAUAAUAGGUUUCCAUUAAUGAUGUGAUACGGUGCAUUAUUGGAUCUAUUUCAGACUCAUUAGAAAGAAAAUUAUAAAGCAAGAUUUUUUUUGUAGCUCUAUUUUAGAACAUGUAAUUAACUUGUUUAAAAUGAAGUUAGUUAAAUUGUCAAGUAAGCUUAAGAUUCCUUUUUAAUUUAGAUUAUUAAGCACGUUCAUAGUAGUCAGUUUAUAAGUAGGUAUUAUCUUAAUGAGAUCUUGGAUACGUACAUUCGUAGGGAUAUAUUUCAGAUUUCAUUUAUGAAAGGAAAUCUAUAGAGCAGAAAUUUGAUUUUUUUGUAUCAAUUUAAAAAUGAUUAAAUUCAUUUUUUUCACUUCAAACGAUAAAGUAAGACUUCUUCAAAACUAUAUAUGAUGUAUAGUUCGGCGUCAGCAAAAAAGAAGCCAAGGAACGUGUUUAUCUCUUCUUCACAAAUACGUAUUUCAUUGAAUCUCGAUAUUUAUCAUGUUUAUAAUUUUUCUAACAUUGACGUUCUACCUCCAUAAGCCUGCAAAUGUCAUGGCAGGUCACAUAUAAUGAAGUAAACAGUUAAACACUCAAUUGUAUACUAUACAAACAAUUAAAUACUUGUAAUUUUAUACCCAUUAUUUUAAAAUAUAUAAGAAGUUUUAUGUUGACAUACAUAUCUCCUGCAUUCAGAAUCAGCAUUAUUUUUUUUUUCAUUUAUUUAAAAGACAAAAAAGUUUCAAUAACCAAAACUGGGCAUCUUAUUGGCUUCAGAUCAUUUUCCAUCUUUAUGCUCACAGGCCCCAGAACAGCAUAAAAAAACAAGGAUAAAUUUGUUUUUGUCUGAGAAUGGAAAGCUGAAAUUGUUUUGAAAUAUGAUUUUGCUUCUUAAAUGGAUUGUAUAUUUUCAUUUGACAUUAGGCUUAACAUGUAUAAUUUCCAUUUAGUGUAUAACAAAAGGAAAGUUUAAGCUAAAAUCAUAUUAGGUGGAAUGAUAUGUUUUUUUAAAGUGUGGUAUAAAUGCAGAAUUAAAACUCCAUUCUUAUUACAAAAUCAGAUACAAAACAAAAAUGAAUUCAUCAAAAAUGCAUAAUUAAAAGCAGUUUCAAAAAAUGCUGAGCAAUUCAACAUUAACUUUAAGCAAAACAAAAAUGCUGUUCUAUUAAAAAAAAAUAAAA
rnacentral:lncRNA from 1 species